AGAGUUUGAUCAUGGCUCAGGAUGAACGCUGGCGGCGUGCCUAAGACAUGCAAGUCGAGUGGGUUUAGGCCCACGGCAAACGGGUGAGUAAUACCUAGGAACUUUCUUUAAGUGGAGCAUAACUCGCCGAAAGGCGAGAUAAUUCUCCAUGUGACCGCAAGGUUAAAGUCGCAAGACGCUUAAAGUGAGGCCUGGGCACCAUCAGCUAGUUGGUAAGGUAAUGGCUUACCAAGGCUAUGACGGUUAGGGGCCCCGAGAGGGGAGACCCCCACACUGGAACUGCGACACGGUCCAGACUCCUACGGGAGGCAGCAGUUUGGAAUUUUGGACAAUGGGCGAAAGCCUGAUCCAGCGACGCCGCGUGGACGAUGAAGGCCUUCGGGUUGUAAAGUCCUUUUGCUCGGGAACAAUAUUUUGAGCGUACCGAGAGAAUAAGAGGUUGCUAACUCUGUGCCAGCAGCAGCGGUAAUACAGAGACCUCAAGCGUUAUCCGGAAUCAUUGGGCGUAAAGCGUACCGAUAGGUGGUUUUACAAGUCAGAAGUGAAAUCUUAAAGCUUAACUUUGAGACUGUCUUUUGAAACUGUAAAACUCGAGGGGCAAAGAGGAAGCUGGAACGAACGGUGUAGUAGUGAAAUGCGUUGAUAUCGUUCGGAACACCGAUAGCGAAGGCAAGCUUCUGGGUGCCACCUGACACUGCUAGGACGAAAGCGUGGGGAGCGAAUGGGAUUAGAUACCCUAGUAGUCC
rnacentral:rRNA from 1 species